ACAUAGCCCUAGCUUCCAGGAAAUGUGAAAGUAAACUCGACGAGUGGGAAAAAGAAAGGGGGAAGAGAAGGAGAAAUGAAAUUCACAGACUCUCCGGUGAUCGAGCUAACAGUUAACGGCACACAGCUGUCAAUCCAGCAAGACAAUGCCACGAUGCACGUCGGAACCUCCGUAUGGCCUUGCUCUCUAGUUCUCGCCAAGUUCGCCGAGCGCUGGUCCACCGUGGAGGACUCAUCACCAUCGUCUCCAAAUCCGUACGCCGAACUCCUCGAUUUCCGCGGCCGUCGCGCCGUCGAGCUAGGCACCGGAUGCGGAGUCGCCGGCAUGGCGUUUCACCUGCUAGGCCUUACGGAGAUCGUGCUCACCGAUAUGGUUCAGGUCAUGCCGGCGCUCAAGCACAACUUGAAACGGAACAAGGCGGCGCUCGGAAAAUAUCUAAAAACCUCGAUCGUUUGCUGGAACAAUCGGGAUCAGAUCUCGGCGCUGAAUCCGCCUUUCGAUCUGGUCAUCGCGGCCGAUGUUGUGUACAUCGAGGAAUCGGUGGGGCAUCUGGUGACGGCGAUGGAGUCGCUGAUGAAGGAAGACGGCGCUGUGCUGCUUGGUUAUCAGGUUCGGUCGCCGGAAGCGGAUAAGCUAUUCUGGGAGCUGUGCGGCGUCGUUUUUGAGAUCGACAAGGUUCCUCAUGAGCAUCUCCAUCCUGAAUACGCGUAUGAGGAAGCUGACGUGUACAUCUUCAGAAAGAAGGCGAAGAGUGAAUCAGAAUGAAACCUGUUUCGUUUCUGUUAAAACCUUUACAAAAUUUGGAUGUAACUUUUCUUUUUACUUACUUUUUGCCAUCGGUUUCGAGCGAUGGGUAUUCGCCAACUACGACUAAUGUCCUUUUGGAGGUGAUUCAUUCGGAGGAAUUCUAUUUUGGGAUAAGAGUGAUAACAUGAGAAGAGUAGUUCAUUUGAGGCUUGAUUUGGUUUUGGCCGAAGAACAUGGAGUGAUUAUUGUUGAUGAUACCGUGUAAAUAUUUGAACACAUCACAAGAGUGACCUUGUGGGAGAUUAGCAAGUAAAGUUAUUUGGAGACGAUGGGAUUCCCAGCCUUGCUCGGAAGAAAAGAAUGAUGAGAGUGAAAUGCAAUUGUGUCAAGUUGUGAGUUGUGACGGAGUCGCAUAACCAGUUUGCAGGAAGUCAAACCGAGCAACAGUCCCAAACCGUAACACUCUGCAGUAAUCAAUUAUUGGUUUGAUCUGGUGCCUUGGAAUGAAAGUAAUUUAAGUCUUUAUUCUACUUGUUGGCGUUUCAUUUAGUUGUUAAUAAGGGAGACUAAGUCAUCCUAUAGUUUAGAAACCUUAACUCCCACUUUU